rnacentral:snoRNA from 1 species
AAGACUAUACUUUCAGGGAUCAUUUCUAUAGUUUAUUACUAGAGAAGUUUCUCUGAACGUGUAGAGUACCCGAAAUCACGAGGAAGAGGUGUAAUAUCCCUUUCUGAGCGUGAAGUUGGCUCUAGGUGUUGCUUUUUUUACAGACGCCUUUUGUCUUUGAUGAUCGUUCUUCUUCUCUUUAAGAGAAGUUAGAGGAAAGGGAUGUCAUCUGAGUGGU